UACAGAGGAGCCAAGCGUUGUCCGGAUUGACUGGGCGUAAAGCGCACGCAGGCGGUGGUGCGCGUGGGGUGUGAAAUCUGGCCGCUUAACGGCCAGGCGCCAUCCCAUACAGCACGACUGGAGGGCUGCAGAGGUCGAUGGAAUUGCCGGUGUAGUGGUGAAAUGCGUAGAGAUCGGCAGGAACACCCAGGGGGAAACCAGUCGACUGGGCAGCACCUGACGCUGAGGUGCGAGAGCGUGGGGAGCGAACCGG
rnacentral:rRNA from 1 species